GACGAACGCUGGCGGCGUGCUUAACACAUGCAAGUCGAACGGUAAGGCCCUUCGGGGUACACGAGUGGCGAACGGGUGAGUAACACGUGGGUGAUCUGCCCUGCACUUCGGGAUAAGCCUGGGAAACUGGGUCUAAUACCGGAUAGGGCUCCUGGCUUCAUGGUUGGGGGUGGAAAGCUUUUGCGGUGUGGGAUGGGCCCGCGGCCUAUGAGCUUGUUGGUGGGGUAAUGGCCUACCAAGGCGACGACGGGUAGCCGGCCUGAGAGGGUGACCGGUCACACUGGGACUGAGAUACGGCCCAGACUCCUACGGGAGGCAGCAGUGGGGAAUAUUGCACGAUGGGGGCAAGCCUGAUGCAGCGACGCCGCGUGAGGGAUGACGGCCUUCGGGUUGUAAACCUCUUUCAGCUAUGACGAAGCGCAAGUGACGGUAGUAGCAGAAGAAGGACCGGCCAACUACGUGCCAGCCGCCGCAGUAA
rnacentral:rRNA from 1 species